CUGAAUAGUAUCUACAAAAAGUGCAAAGUCAGGUGGCAUACCUAAGCAAAAUUUUGUUUAAGGAAGAAGCGUCAUUUACAAACCAUAGGCUAGUCAGCCUUCACAACAUACACUAAACAUCAGUUGAAAAUACAUGCUGACUCAGUGAAUGCUCUUGGUCUUUCAAUAUUUGAUGCAUGUUUUUAAGACCCACAACACUGGUCUCUGUGUUGUUGAUGGAAUUCUGAAUUCAUUCAGGAAAUGUGAGUUCCUAAGAUAUACUGCUGCUGCAGUUAUUGGAAGACACCCCACUGAACAUAAGGCAGUCAGUGUGGUACCAACAUGAUGGAUAUGCCUCUCAUUCCACACACAUGUUGACAGGCCCUCUUAAGAGCACAUCUAAAGAGCAUUGGAAUAGUUGUUCAGGAAAUGAAAAAUGGUCUACAGGAUCACCUAAUUUAACACUUCUACACCUUUAUCUGUGGUGAGAUUUAAGACAAGAAGUCUAUUAUGAAACACUGAAUGACUCCCAAAGGAAUGAAAUGCCGUGUAACACAUUGAGUCCAGAAGAAAUUCAAUAUGCAGUGCUGUUUCACCAGAGUAAAUUUAUAGGGUGCAGCAAUGCUAAAGAUCAAUAUUUUAAGCACAUGGUAUGAUAGCCAUGAUAAUAUACAUAAAAACCAUACCCCGAGUUCCGUCCUUGGUGUAAUAGGGCACACGUUCAUGGAACCUCUUCCCCUGAUGUUACAGUCGCAGGUUAGAAACCUGCCUCAGACAUGGAUUGUGUGAUGUCCUUAGGUUAGUUAGGUUAAAGCAGUUCAAAGUUCUAGGGGACUGAUGACCUUAGAUGGUAAGUCUCAUUGUGAUCAGAUUCAUUUGUUAUCUUGAUACUGUUUGAUCAUGUACCAUGCAUAUUAUGUCAAUAAAAAUUACGUGUGAAUAUUGGGAA